rnacentral:lncRNA from 1 species
AUGAGUAAAAAUUUUUCAAACAAUAAUGAAAAUUUUAAUUAUUUAAUAAUUAAGUUUUAUUGAGCUAAAUUUACUACUAUAUUUAGGAGGUAAUGAAGUUUACUUACUUACAUCAAAACAAACAAUAAAAUUCAAAAAAAAAUUUAAUUUCACCAAUAUUAAGUUACACCAAAAUAAAUAAAAAAAUAAUUACAUUUAACUUUUUUUUAAAAAAAAUUACAUUUAACUUUCAAACUGUAUAAAUUAUAUCAAAACAAACUAAAGCAUCAUUACACUU